rnacentral:rRNA from 1 species
CAUAGGUUUGGUCCCAGCCUUCCUGUUACUCUUAAUAAACUUACACAUGCAAGCAUCUACACCCCAGUGAGAAUGCCCUCUAGGUUAUUAAAACUAAGAGGAGCUGGCAUCAAGCACACACCCUGUAGCUCACGACGCCUUGCUUAACCACACCCCCACGGGAAACAGCAGUGACAAAAAUUAAGCCAUAAACGAAAGUUUGACUAAGUUAUAUUAAUUAGGGUUGGUAAAUCUCGUGCCAGCCACCGCGGUCAUACGAUUAACCCAAGCUAACAGGAGUACGGCGUAAAACGUGUUAAAGCACCAUACCAAAUAGGGUUAAAUUCUAACUAAGCUGUAAAAAGCCAUGAUUAAAAUAAAAAUAAAUGACGAAAGUGACCCUACAAUAGCCGACGCACUAUAGCUAAGACCCAAACUGGGAUUAGAUACCCCACUAUGCUUAGCCCUAAACACAGAUAAUUACAUAAACAAAAUUAUUCGCCAGAGUACUACUAGCAACAGCUUAAAACUCAAAGGACUUGGCGGUGCUUUAUAUCCUUCUAGAGGAGCCUGUUCUAUAUAAUCACUAGUGAAU